AUGUGCAGCAAUCAGUGUCCCUCCCUCCCUCUCUAUCAUCUCUCUGCUUUCUCUCUCUUCCUCAUCUACCUCUCUUAUUUUUCUCCACAAGAGCAGAUCAGCAUCGAACUCUGUCUCUCCUCUGUUCUCUAUAUAUAUCAGCAGCGGCCAGCAGCAGAUCCAGCAAGCCCUCAAUCUAAAUAUGUGGCAAUUAGCGUCUCUCUCUGCUCUUUAUCUCUCAUCUCUCUGCUCUCUCUCUUCCUCACCUAUCUCUAUCUCUCAAGCAGCAGCACCCAGCAUGCCCUCUGCUCUCUCCCUAAAGCAGAAGCUCAUCUCUUCAAGUGCCUCCCCACCUUCAGCCACGGCGUCGCUGCCGCCGCCCCUGUAUCCACUCAUCGACGACGCCAUCUCUCCCUCCCCUAG
rnacentral:rRNA from 1 species